CAGCCGCCGCGGUAAUACGAAGGGUGCAAGCGUUACUCGGAAUUACUGGGCGUAAAGCGUGCGUAGGUGGUGGUUUAAGUCCGUUGUGAAAGCCCUGGGCUCAACCUGGGAAUUGCAGUGGAUACUGGGUCACUAGAGUGCGGUAGAGGAUAGUGGAAUUUCCGGUGUAGCAGUGAAAUGCGUAGAGAUCGGAAGGAACAUCUGUGGCGAAGGCGACUAUCUGGGCCAACACUGACACUGAGGCACGAAAGCGUGGGGAGCAAACAGGAUUAGAGACCCCUGUAGUCCCUGUCUCUUAUAC
rnacentral:rRNA from 1 species